rnacentral:rRNA from 1 species
GAUGAACGCUGGCGGCGUGCCUAAUACAUGCCAGUCGAGCGAACAGACGAGGAGCUUGCUCCUCUGACGUUAGCGGCGGACGGGUGAGUAACACGUGGAUAACCUACCUAUAAGACUGGGAUAACUUCGGGAAACCGGAGCUAAUACCGGAUAACAUGUUGAACCGCAUGGUUCAACAGUGAAAGACGGUCUUGCUGUCACUUAUAGAUGGAUCCGCGCCGCAUUAGCUAGUUGGUAAGGUAACGGCUUACCAAGGCAACGAUGCGUAGCCGACCUGAGAGGGUGAUCGGCCACACUGGAACUGAGACACGGUCCAGACGCCUACGGGAGGCAGCAGUAGGGAAUCUUCCGCAAUGGGCGAAAGCCUGACGGAGCAACGCCGCGUGAGUGAAGAAGGUCUUCGGAUCGGAAAACUCUGUUAUUAGGGAAGAACAAAUGUGUAAGUAACUAUGCACGUCUUGACGGUACCUAAUCAGAAAGCCACGGCUAACUACGUG